rnacentral:rRNA from 1 species
UUAAAGUUGUUGCAGUUAAMAAGCUCGUAGUUGAACCUUGGGCCUGGCUGGCCGGUCCGCCUCACCGCGUGCACUGGUCCGGCCGGGCCUUUCCUCCUGGGGAGCCGCAUGCCCUUCACUGGGUGUGUCGGGGAACCAGGACUUUUACUUUGAAAAAAUUAGAGUGUUCAAAGCAGGCCUAUGCUCGAAUACAUUAGCAUGGAAUAAUA